rfam:Enterococcus casseliflavus EC10 cont1.27, whole genome shotgun sequence.
GCACUCUUUACAAGAGUCAGAAAGUGAUUUAGAAUUUUCGCUCCCUAUUCAUUUAUGGAUAGGGAGCUUUUAUUAUUUU